UUUUAUAAACAUUAAUAGCACUUUAUCCUAUCUUAAUCAAAACAUAGACGAUUCUAUUUUUUCGAAGUGGUCUUCAAUUCAGGAUAACAGUAUCAGGCCUACUCAUUUUUGAUAAUGUUUAUAAACCCUUCUUUUUUUUAUUUUCCCCCCAUUUAAUUAACUACUUUCAGGACACAUUAGAUCGAAUGAGAGAAAACGUCAUCGCCUCUAAAUCAAAAUAUCAACAAAGCUAUGUUAAAUGGGUCUUAACACAAUCAGGCCUACUUAUAAUUUUGCUUUUUUAAACUGAUAGAAUCAAUAUAUAAGUAGUUAUCAAAGGUACCAGAAUUAUAAUUUAAUACGACAGACGCGCUUUUCGUCUACAUAAGACUCAUCAGUGACGCUCAAAUCAAAAUAGGUAUAAAGCCGAACAAGUACAAAGUUGAAGAGCAUUGAGGACCCAAAAUUCCCAAAAGUUGUGCAAAUAAACCUUUUUACUUAUCAUUUAACAUUAUAAUUUCACCCCCCCCCCCCCUGUCGCUAGUUUUGCACAUAUCAUGAAUACAUAAAGUUUGAAGGUACAUGGUAAUAAAAGCAAAUAAUACACAGACCACAUAAAGACCAUAUUUGAAGAUUACCCAAAUCUAAGGGAGGUAAUUGUGUUAUCAGAUCCAGUACGAGUGGACCGCAUGGAAAAUAAAUGAAAGAGUGUUAAUUGUGUUCAGACUAGGCACUUUUGCACAGCGGAAAAUAAAUCAAAGGGUGAGAUAAGGGAUCAAAAGCCUAUACUUAAACAUACCCAAGUUGUUUAUGCACACAAUGCUUGUACAUAAACAUGCUAAAUGAGAACUUAUUAAAUAGUUUAUGACGAUUAUUUACACCGGUUGAUGUGUUAAAUAGAUUUCCAUUACAUAACAGAAAUCAUGAUUUGUAGUUGUC
rnacentral:lncRNA from 1 species